rnacentral:lncRNA from 1 species
AAUUAAACUCUUUUAUAAGUUGCCUUGGUCAUGGGGUCUGAUUACAACAACAGAAAAGUAGGACAGGGCAAGAGUAAUGAGAAUGCAUUAUAUUCACACAUUAAAUGAAAAUUAGUCAAAGUAUAAGGAGGAGAGUAAUAAAGUAAGAAGGCACAUGCCAUAAACCUCUGGUUCCCAUAUGUGUACACACAGGUUCACACAUGUAGAUGUGCAUGUAUACCACAUAUACAUAUACACAUACAACACCUCUAAGACGUAGUUGUAUUCUAUUUCUCCACACUUAUCUGAGGCCUGGUAUGCUUCCCUUCAUGAUUAGAUGAUGGGGGAGGUCCUUCUGUGUAUAUGUUUGUCUUAUUGAUUGAUAAAUAAAGUACUGUUGGCCAAUAAGAAAGCAAGAUACGUGUGACUAAGAGUCAAAGAGGAUUCUGGGAAAUGUAAUAAAGAGAAGUCUUGUGAUCCAGACAGGAAGUGACGUAGCAUGCAGACUUAGAAUAUAAGCAGGGACAAGCAGGAAGUCACUCUCUUCCUCUUCCUCCUCCUCUCUUCUCUGUAGAGCUGCCAUGUGAUCUCGGGAAGAUGAUGAAUGCCACCAGCAUCCUCCAUAAGAUAAGUCUUUAUAAAUAUAUAGAUUAUGGCUAUGGUUGAUACUUAAGACAGAGCAAGCAUAUAAGAAAUUCUAAUCUUUGGCCAGCAGUAUUGUAACUAAUAUAAGUCUCUAUGUGUUAUUUGGGGCCCUAACCUGGUGGUGGAAGUGUGUGGCUUAGAUAGUAUUAGGUAACCACAAUAUUGGCAGUCAAAACCACCAUUAUUUAAAUCUUCUUUUAAUUUUACUGUAACUUGUUCCAGUCUAGAUGUUAUAUUGGAGAUGCCCAUCAAACUUCAUAUCGGAGGAAGAAGAGUCAGAGUGGACAACGGCCUGUCCACACAGUGCCACUUCAGCCUAGUUCUCCUCUUCUUCAUCCCUUACUGUUGCUCAGCUCCGGGGCUCCACCCUAAUCCCUUCCUCUCUUCCUGGAUUUGCUUAAAUUGGAUGAUGUCAUCGAUCUUCGAUGCUCCAACUGCCAGGUGAUGGAUAAAACGUCUCCAAUUUGUACUCCCAGCCCCAGACACUUCUCCUAUUUGAACCUAUUUUCCUUUGAAAGAAACCAAACCAGCUGUCAAAAUGUCACUCUGUAGGUUAAUGUGCCAGAGAUUUGAACAGCAUCUACUUUUUGUGAUAACAGCUGUUUGUCUCUUGUUGAUUUGAUUAAUAAACCUGUUUGAGUUUUAUUAAAUCA